rnacentral:tRNA from 1 species
CCCUGCGUAGCCCAAUGGUAGAGCGACCGGCUGUAGAAUUACCAAGUGCUGUUUAUCAGUGCAAUGAAGAGUUUCAGCUGUAGAAACCGGUAGGUUGCGGGUUCAAAUCCGGCCGCAGGGA